rnacentral:lncRNA from 1 species
CCCGGAUCCCACGCGACCUCGGAGCUGCCGGCGGCCUCAGAGGUCACCCCCGUUUGGUCCGUGGGCACUGCAGGCGGCGCCUUCGCUGCUCCAUGCCCGGACUCAGUGCUCGAGCACCCCCGUGCCGGGAGCGCACCGCUGCCCUCGCAGCCGCCCUCCUGGGGGCAGCCGUCAGAAUGGCCUGCCUUCAGCCGAGUUGGAACCGGCCUCCCUUUAACUCCCACCGCCGGGCCUAGCCGUGCGAGGGGUGCGCGCAGGCCAUGUCCCCCAGCUCUCUCCGGUCACUGCCUAGUGUGCGGGCGUUGGUGGUGAGGACCGAGCGCAGGGUCCCGUGUGGGUGAGCCCUUCAGAGUCCCACUGUGACAGGGGCUUUCAGGGAGAACGGGUCCGCGGGCCCUCCCCACCUCCCAGCCCAGCUCUGCUCCUGGACAGCCGAGGGCUUUCUCCCUUUUUUCCUCUUACCACAAAAGUAAUUCAUACUGUAGAAAAAUGGGAAAGUACAGAAAUUACAACAAAAUACGUAUCUCCUUGAUCCCUCCCCAGACGAGUUCUUUCUACUCCGUAAUGUGCAUUUGGUGCAUAUGCACUGAUAUAUUUUUACGUGGUUAGAUUCUUACUGUACACUUUUUUCACCAGUUGUAGAAGUCUGUCCGUGUUACUACAUGUUCUGCAACAUGAAU